CCCCCCCCCCCCCCCCCCCCCCCCCCCCCCCCCCCCCCCCCCCCCCCCCCCCCCCCCCCCCCCCCCCCCCCCCACAUCCCAGAGCUGCCAGGACAUCCCAGAGCUCCCAGCGCAUCCCAGAGCUGCCAGCACAUCCCAGAGCUCCCAGCACAUCCCAGCCCCCCCCCCCUUUUUUUUUUUUUUUUUUUUUUUUUUUUUUUUUUUUUUUUUUUUUUUUUUUUUUUUUUUUUUUUUUUUCCUCCAAGCAAUGCAAGGAGUGCCUGGAAAGCUCAGCCUCUUAGCACUGGCUCGGCGGAGGAUUAAGAAAGUCAACUAAUGCUUCCCAGCACCAGGAUUUCGGCAGCACGGAGCCUCCCGAGGCAGAGAACCGCGACGGCAAAUCCAGCAGGAUCUCAAGGCAGCUCUUGCCUCUCCACGCAGAUGCUGCUUAACCCUGGGUUUAUGCGCAUCCCACUUGUGAGAGCCAGCUGGGAAGCCUUGGUGCCUCCCCUUCACGGACAGCGAGCGCUGCCAGCCCGAGCCCGCUGCCAGCACCGGCGCUGAGCAGCUUCCUCAGCCCGUGCAGGUGGAGCGGUGGCACGGGGCUCCCAGCGCAUCCCAGAGCUGCCAGGACAUCCCAGAGCUCCCAGCGCAUCCCAGAGCUGCCAGCACAUCCCAGAGCUCCCAGCACAUCCCAGCACUCUCAGCACAUCCCAGAGCUGCCAGGACAUUCCUGCUGACCAGCACAUCCCAGAGCUGCCAGGACAUCCCAGCACUCCCAGCACAUUCCUGCUGACCAGCACAUCCCAGAGCUCCCAGCACAUCCCAGAGCUGCCAGGACAUCUCAGAGCUCCCAGCACACCCCUACUGACCAGCACAUCCCAGCACUCCCAGCACAUCCCUGCUGACCAGCAGAUGAGCCGGCGCAUCUCUCCAAGCGAGGCGUGCUGGAGGAACAAGGGCCAGGACACAAGAUCGCUCAGGGAGGCAAGGAACCCGUGGAGGACACAAGCUGUCUGACACUUCUCAUUCCAGCAGGAGCAGGCACCAGAAACCCUGUGCAAUAAGGAGUUAGUGCCAUGUGCCACUGCAUGGAUGUGACCCCCUUUAGAGGAGUGAGCAGGAGGAGAUCGCUGAAAAUUAUGCUGUAUGCCAAUCUGAGUAGCUGUAAAUAAAAAGCUGUGUUAUGAAAAGA
rnacentral:lncRNA from 12 species